AUAGUGAACCAGUACCGUGAGGGAAAGGUGAAAAGAACCCCGGAAGGGGAGUGAAAGAGAACCUGAAACCGUGUGCCUACAAAUAGUCAGAGCCCGUUAAAGGGUGAUGGCGUGCCUUUUGUAGAAUGAACCGGCGAGUUACGAUAUCGUGCGAGGUUAAGCAGAAGAUGCGGAGCCGUAGCGAAAGCGAGUCUGAAUAGGGCGAAGAGUACGAUGUUGUAGACCCGAAACCGUGUGAGCUAGCCAUGAGCAGGCUGAAGGUCAGGUAACACUGACUGGAGGGCCGAACCAGGGCACGUUGAAAAGUGCUUGGAUGACUUGUGGCUAGGGGUGAAAUUCCAAUCGAACACGGAUAUAGCUGGUUCUCUCCGAAAUAGCUUUAGGGCUAGCCUCGAUGUUAAGUCUACUGGAGGUAGAGCACUGAAUGGGUGAUGGCCCCACCUCGGGGUACUGAUCUCAAUCAAACUCCGAAUGCCAGAUAGAUAUAAUCGGGAGUCAGACUGUGGGUGAUAAGGUCCAUGGUCAAAAGGGAAAGAGCCCAGACCGCCAGCUAAGGCCCCCAAGUGUCCGUUAAGUGGAAAAGGAUGUGGAGAUGCACAGACAACUAGGAGGUUGGCUUAGAAGCAGCCAUCCUUUAAAGAGUGCGUAAUAGCUCACUAGUCGAGUGACACUGCGCCGAAGAUGUACCGGGGCUAAACACAAUACCGAAGCUGCGGACUUGCAUGUAAGUGCAAGUGGUAGGGGAGCGUUCUAAGUGCUGAGAAGGUAGACCGUAAGGACUGCUGGAGCGCUUAGAAGUGAGAAUGCCGGUGUGAGUAACGUAAGGUAGGUGAGAAUCCUACCCACUAUUUGACCAAGGUUUCCAGGGUCAAGUUCGUCUUCCCUGGGUUAGUCGGGACCUAAGGCGAGGCUGAAAAGCGUAGUCGAUGGACAACAGGUUUAUAUUCCUGUACCACCUAUGUAACUGAUGGAGUGACGGAGAAAGCUAAUGAGAGCCAGUUAUUGGAUUCUGGUCUAAGUGCGUAGGCUAGUAUGUUGGCAAAUCCGCAAUACUAUAACAGCUGAAACAUGAUGGGGAAGAGAGUCUUCGGACAAUCGAACUUUCAUGAUGCUAUGCUUCCAAGAAAAGCUUCUAGGGUUAAUCGUAUAGGUGCCUGUACCGACAACCGACACAGGUGGUCAAGGAGAGUAUCCUAAGGUGAGCGAGAGAACUAUGGUUAAGGAACUCGGCAAAAUGACCCCGUAACUUCGGGAGAAGGGGUGGUCUAGCGAUAGACCCGCAGUGAAUAGGCCCAGGCAACUGUUUACCAAAAACACAGGUCUCUGCUAACACGUAAGUGGAUGUAUAGGGGCUGACGCCUGCCCAGUGCUGGAAGGUUAAAGAGAUUAGUUAGUAUGACGUAAGUCGAUAAUACGAAGCUUUGAACUGAAGCCCCAGUGAACGGCGGCCGUAACUAUAACGGUCCUAAGGUAGCGAAAUUCCUUGUCAGGUAAGUUCUGACCCG
rnacentral:rRNA from 1 species